AUUGAACGCUGGCGGCAGGCCUAACACAUGCAAGUCGAGCGGAUGAAGGGAGCUUGCUCCUGGAUUCAGCGGCGGACGGGUGAGUAAUGCCUAGGAAUCUGCCUGGUAGUGGGGGAUAACGUCCGGUAACGGGCGCUAAUACCGCAUACGUCCUGAGGUAGAAAGUGGGGGAUCUUCGGACCUCACGCUAUCAGAUGAGCCUAGGUCGGAUUAGCUAGUUGGUGGGGUAAAGGCCUACCAAGGCGACGAUCCGUAACUGGUCUGAGAGGAUGAUCAGUCACACUGGAACUGAGACACGGUCCAGACUCCUACGGGAGGCAGCAGUAGGGAAUAUUGGACAAUGGGCGAAAGCCUGAUCCAGCCAUGCCGCGUGUGUGAAGAAGGUCUUCGGAUUGUAAAGCACUUUAAGUUGGGAGGAAGGGCAGUAAGUUAAUACCUUGCUGUUUUGACGUUACCAACAGAAUAAGCACCGGCUAACUUCGUG
rnacentral:rRNA from 1 species